CAAAAUUGGAAUAAUUGACUUGCACAACUAAAAUAUAUUUGGUAGAAAUAUGACAUUGAUGGUUGCUAUUCAUAUUUAAGUCGAAAGUGUACUAUUAAAUGAAAUACAUUUCGACAGUUACAAUUAAAAAUUGAUUUUUCAUUAAUUUGGACAACUAAUGUUCAACCAAACUUAAACUGAUAGAUAAUUUGUAUUAUUAAAAAAAACCAAGAAUAUUAAUACUACUUCGAUAUAUAACAGGAGUCACACACAAAAUAAUAAGACAGCACAACAGACCACAUCAACCAUCAACACCUGACACCUCC
rnacentral:lncRNA from 1 species